rnacentral:rRNA from 1 species
UACGUAGGGGGCAAGCGUUGUCCGGAUUUAUUGGGCGUAAAGAGCGUGUAGGCGGCCAGGUAGGUCGGUUGUGAAAACUCGAGGCUCAACCUCGAGAUGUCGACCGAAACCAUCUGGCUAGAGUCCGGAAGAGGAGAAUGGAAUUCCCGGUGUAGCGGUGAAAUGCGCAGAUAUCGGGAAGAACACCCGUGGCGAAGGCGGGUCUCUGGGACGUUACUGACGCUGAGACGCGAAAGCGUGGGGAGCGAACAGG